rnacentral:lncRNA from 1 species
CUCAGCGUGUCGACGUUCCAGGGCAUAUUCUUCUCCUUCUUGCGCAGCUCCUCCAUUUUGCUCUCCCAGUUCCUCUCCUCGUGGCGCAGCUGCUGCGCCUCCGCCUGCAGCCUCUCCCUCUCCCCCCGGACCCCCCCGGAUCCCCCCCCGGGCUCCGCCACCUCCAACUCUUUCAGUUUCUUCUGGCACUCGGCGAGUUUCCUCUUGCAUUCCCUGCAGCCCUUGUCCAGCUCUUCUUUCUCUUUCUGGAACUGCUCCAUCCUCUCCACGCGGGCCUGGUGCCGCCAUCGGAAGAGGGAGGCGGUGUCGAUGUUGGGGUGCGUCUCGUCCUCAUCGUCCGACACCUCGAUGUGGUCCCAGACGCUGUAAUCCACCAUAGCGGAACCGCACCCCUCCUAAACCGCCCCCCCCGCGCCCGUCCGCCGCUCUCGGCCGCUUCUGGAAACCUCCAGCGCACGGCGCGCCCACU